GAGCAGAGACAGGCAAACAUGUUGGAGUGGGGAGUGAAGAGGGGGGCUGGCCCCUCCUUACUGCUGUAAAAGCAGAAGGGAGAAAAAAAAAAAGGAGGAGGAAGAAAGGAAAUCACAGCCAUACGGGCUAUGCUCCCCCGGCUGAACUGUAUCUGCAUUUUUAACGGUGGGAGAAAAGACACUAUAUGGCGAAGUGCUCCUCCCGCUGCCCUGCCAGGCUCAUCUGUCAGCCAUUAGAUAAUCAGGGCUGGUAACAGAGAGCACAGCGAGCUGGCACAGCGCAUGAGACCAGAGGACAGCUUCACCUCUGAGAGCAGGAGGAGGGCAAGGACUCUGGGACCCCUGCUUCACCGAGCCCCAGCUGGGUGGCUUCACUCACCGGCACCCACUCAGGACUGGCAGACAGCAACCUCCCGCUGACCCCACCCACCGCUUUACUUACAACAGGGAGGUUUCAGAGUCAGAAGUCAAAACAACACAUGUUAUCAACAUGGGAACAGCUGGUAAGAGUGGCGUCAUGGGGCACAGGAAUGUCAAGAGUCAUACAUCUUUUAUCCAUCAGGCCAAAAUAACCACCCAGACUUGGAACCACACACAGGAACAGUGUGAAAUAGUAACAUUUAUAUACAACUCACGCUAUUCAUAGUUAACUUCAGCCACCAGUUUCUAGAAACUAUAUGACAAUUUCAAUUCAACAAAUGCAUAUUAAAAUGUACACAAAUGCCGAAUUUAGGUAUAUUUUGUUUUAUACUAAAACUGCAGUGAUGAAUUACAGAUGUGACAAGUUGAUUCUGCCAUCUUAUUCAUUCAGGAUGUUGCUGAUUGUGUGAUGUGGAAAUAAUUUCCUCUCUCUGGCUGCGCAGUUUUUGACAGACUGUCAGCUGCAGUGAACUGCUGAUUGGCAAAAACUAAACAGCACAUUCUGCACUCCCCAGUAAGAGUUAGCCACCUUUAAAGAGUUAAAUAAACAACUGGUUGAGUGGGCAUACACAGUGUCUUCAGCACGGUUUCCUUUUUCAGUCAACACCACUCAGCAAAGGUACAACAAGAAAUCCUAAAUAAGAAUGAAAUGACAAAACAGCUGAGUUCUUCCAUGUGUCUAAACAUUCUGACACUUUUUUCCAUGACCGUGUUAAAGUCAAACAUCCAGGAAAUGAGUGCUAUACUAAAUACUGGGCAAAAUGAAGAAAUAAGAGAGAAUCAACAGAAUGGAGCAAAUUCUUACUGACGGAACUUAAAAAAUACAAACAGCAGACCAGUUGUGAAGUUAUAAAGCGGUGACCUUUGACACAGGGCAUCCAAGAUUAACUAUGUCUUCCUGCUAAAUGUUACACAGCUGUUUUUCUAAUCUGUCAUAGCAACCAGCCUGCCACAGCUUGCAGAGAGGGAAAUAUGGAAAAGCUCAGUGAAGUGCAAGAUCUUGACCUUGUGUUUAAAAAAACAGAUUAAAAAAAGGAGAAUCUCAUUGUUACUGCACUUUAUCAAGUGUUUACUAAGAUUGUUUAUACAUCCUCUUUUUCCUUUCCCACCAAAAUUCCUCCUUUCACAAUCCUUUAUUUUUUAUUUUUUGCUAACCUUGUGCCUGAUUUCAGCUAAAUCCAUGGAUGGCAUCAAGAGUUGACAAGGCAAAACGCAUCCAUCAGAGGAAAACUCAUCACAAAACCAAGAGAAAUCAAGAGACAAGCCACAAUCACUACCAAGAAAUAGAGGCACUGGGAAUGUUCCCAUCGAGAGCGUUUAGCUAAACCUACAUACAUAAUACAGGGGUCAGUGAUAUGAAAUCCAGCACUUAGUCAGAAAGAAUACUUCUGAAGGAAAUCAUUCCUGCACCAUACAUGUUGUUUAUGUUAGACAGCUUACAUGAAACAAAACUAGAGUAAAUACACCACCAUUCAAAAGUUUGGGGUCACUUAGAAAUGUCCUUAUUUUUGAAAGAAAAGCAGUUUUUUCAAUAAGGAGAACAUUAAAUUCAUCAGAAAUACAGUCCAGACAUUGUUAAUGUGGUAAAUGACUAUUCUAGCUGGAAACAGCUGAUUUUUAAUGGAAUAUCUCCAUAGGGGUACAGAGGAACAUUUCCAGCAACCAUCACUCCUGUGUUCUAAUGCUACAUUGUGUUAGCUAAUGGUGUUGAAAGGCUAAUUGAUGAUUAGAAAACCCUUGUGCAAUUAUGUUAUCACAUGAAUAAAAGUGUGAGUUUUCAUGGAAAACAUGAAAUUGCCUGGGUGACCCCAAACUUUUGAACGGGUUGGGGUUAGGGUGAAUCAAAAAAGCACAUUUUUGAUACACCGACUAAAAAUGUAAACUUCUUUGCAAAACACUUCAGUCUGUUUUCAACAUUUCAGACAAAUUGUGCAUCAGACAAUGUCCGACACACUGGAAUUUUCUCACAUCUGUGGACCAGCGACCCUGCUGACUUGGUCGACGCACAAGCAGAAACAGAUCAGACAGAAGUCACAUGUAUGGUAUAAUACAUGCAGUCAAACAGUGGAGGGUGAGUACAGUUAAAGCACUGGUGGAAAUGUGAUGUAGGGAAGGUACAACAUCACAUAUCAGGAGCCUUUUCUGUCAGCCAGAGUUGAAAUAAAGAACUAUUUGCAAGCUGUUUGUGGAAGGGAGCUAGAAACACCCAAUCUAUCACUGCCUCACCCACAAGAGGGGGAAAAAGCUGCCACAAACUCCAAUUCAAUCCAUCACCUUGAUAGCAUCGACAGGCCUGAACAGCACCCGGCCCCGUUAGGUCUGAGCUUGUAGCCUCAUGCGAGAAGACUAUACAUUGAUCUCAAGUCUUAGAAGGCGACUCCUUGAGGCUUCAAAACACUUAGCAAGAGUUGAGAAAAAGCAGGCGCUCUCUAUCUGUGUCAAAGCGAGGCCGAGUUCCCUGUCAUUGGACGUAGAUCUACCUAAAUGCUUCCAGACUUUCAUGCCCUGUCUCCUCUCAUUUCAUCUCACUGCAUCUGCUCCAAACUCGGAAAAUGCACAAAACAUCUAAGCUUAUUAGUUGGGCUUCUCUCUUGAUUUCCUUCAGUGUCCUACACAAAGUUUACCUGCAUCUUCACCUGCAAUAAAUUGUAAGGAUGCUAAUGCAAGUGCUCCUUCAAAAUAUCUAUAUUACAGUGUGCAAUAUGUUCAACUUUUCUUUAUGCUGUCCAACUGAUUGACCAAAAAGGGACUUCCAUCCCUGACAUAAACGCCGUGCUGUGAUCUAAAUAUUUUGAAUCUUCAGAUAACAUCUCACAGCAUCUGGUUUUCUGCUUCCCAAGUCGCAGUGGUUUGCCAAAAGCUGUAGGCCGCAGUGCUUGACUUCUAACCUGAAAAUCAUCCACUGAACUGUUUUGCUUUCUCUCAAAGGCCAAAAUGAAACAUUAUCUACCAACUCAGUCUUAAAUUAAAGCCACAAACAAGAACCAAAGCUAGGGAACACCGGGAGGGACCUUUUCACACUCGACUGGCACAUGUGCAAUAUCAGGAAACACAGGCCCAGUGAUGUCACAACCAACUGACCUCGAGGUGACGGGUUCGGAGAACGUUCCUGCCCAUUGCCCUCAGGCCAAAGUCAAGUAUGUCAAUGUUGUGCAUGUGGAUUUCAUUUGAAGCAGCAUGAUUAGUUUGCAGACGCUCUGCUGCGAUCCCCCUCCAUGGGAAACACACACUGGACAGGAAACGGUAUGUUUUUGUUAGCAACAAACAGGCAUAAAUUACUAAAAUGGUGCCACGGUUGACAAUUUAUCAAACACAGCCGUAUUGUUGGUUCUUACACACAGCUGACAUCGACGCUGUUUUUAAGGUAAUUACCAUUAGUUAAUGAUAUUUACAUUCCUGAUAGUUUAUGUUGAACUAUGUGCCUGUAUUCUGUCAUUUGUGCAAUAAAUGUGAUAAUUGUUUUGUGUCUUUUCUUUGUUAAAUGCAACAAAUGUGUUUGUGAAAUGAAUACUAUGGUGGCAGUCAUUCAUCAGUUUCUGAAGCUGUCACUGCAAGAUUUUUAAAAAAUGGAAGAUUGCUUUGAGGAGACCGCUCAACUUGACAACAAACUAAAGGGGUUUAUUGGUUUAUUUCCAUUAAUUUUGCCUGAAAAAAAAUUUAUGUUAAAGAAAUGGCACAGUACAUAUGGAAUAAUACAUUUAACUCUAUGGCCAAGAAGAUAUAUAACAAUAUUCACUAAUAUCAGAUAUUUUGGGGACUAUAAAGUGUGUGUAGGUUCUAUUUUCCAAAGAAUAUAUUGAAUAUAUCAAACAACUGAAAGCUACUGCCUCAAACUGAUGCGAUUAAUACUGGGGGUGCAAAAUUUGCUUCUAUGCUAAAUUCUGUUUUGCAUAGUUGGUGUAUUUUUGGUGGACAGUCCAAACCAAAGAGGCCAUUGAAUAAGGUAAGAGUCUCCCUCUGAAGCCAGGAGAAAUAUUUAGACAAUGUUAUGUAAUGCAAAAACAUAAUAAAAUUGAGACCAUUUGAUCCUUCUCUGGUCUCUAAAAGAGAAUCAGCUCCUAAACAUCAACCAUUUCACCAGCACAAUGUGUAAGUUUUGGAUCUAUGAAAUGAUUGAAAAUUUAAAAAAAAGCAGAAUGACCAACUGUAACAUAAGAAGAGGUCACAGAUAGCAUUGAUUUUUGCAUCUGAUUUAAGGUUAAUAAUUUGGUGUAGACUACAAUAUUCCUUUAUACUUCACUGCAGAUGGUAAAUUACAGGUUUUGUUUAAUGGAAUCUACCAAUAUGGUCUAUUAUACGUUACUUGUACCCUGUAGUGAAAUGUUAACUUGAAUUACAAUAUGAUUUGAAUAUACAGCUUGAAAUAACUUCAUAGAUUCUAACUUUCUGUCUUCUGUAUAUACUGGGUUUUGCUUUUGGAUCUCCUCAACUAAACAACCGUUGCCAGCAUGAAUUAAUACCAAUUAUUGCUGUAGUAAGAGCAAUACUCUGUCGGACUCCUGCCAAAUGCAUCACAGAGAGCUCCAUUAAUGCAAUGGUAAACAGAUGUGCCACCCAGCGCCAAGGUUUGAUUUGCACUGUGUAUGUUUUCUCCAGGGAGAUUACAAAAUAAAAUGUUAAAACACAUAAAAGGAAAAGUCCCGCAGUGCUUUUACACUACGCUCUGCCAAGGUAUGUGAAGCACUACAGAUACUAAAGAAGCAGAUUUUCAGCAAGCCCCCCAAAGACUGAAUUAUCAUAGGAAUUACUGAAAAAAAGACUGCUGAAGUCAAGUGAGGGUCAAAUACUAAAUACCCCAUAAUGACCUACAAAUCAAGUGUUUGCUGUGGGCUGUUUACAGUACGUCACCUACAUGAUGUGUAUGUAUUGCAUGCACAUGUUUUACCACAGAAGAUUAGUAUACUGCAAAUAACUGCUGUAGCUGAACAAAAACUGUUAUCCUGUUUCAGUAAUAAAGUAUAUAUUUCAACUUUGA